CCUACGGGCGGCAGCAGUGGGGGAUAUUGCACAAUGGGGGAAACCCUGAUGCAGCGACGCCGCGUGGGUGAAGAAGUAUUUCGGUAUGUAAAGCCCUAUCAGCAGGGAAGAAAGAAGACGGUACCUGACUAAGAAGCCCCGGCUAACUACGUGCCAGCAGCCGCGGUAAUACGGAGGAUGCGAGCGUUAUCAGGAUUUAUUGGGUUAAAAGGGUGCGUAGGCGGAAUAUCAAGUCAGCGGUAAAAAUUCGGGGCUCAACCCCGUCGUGCCGUUGAAACUGAUGUUCUUGAGUGGGCGAGAGGGAUGCGGAAUGCGUGGUGUAGCGGUGAAAUGCAUAGAUAUCACGCAGAACUCCGAUGGCGAAGGCAGCAUACCGGCG
rnacentral:rRNA from 1 species